AGUGAACGCUGGCGGCAGGCCUAACACAUGCGAGUCGAGCGGCAGCGGGUCCUUCGGGAUGCCGGCGAGCGGCGGACGGGUGAGGAAUACAUCGGAAUCUGCCCUGUCGUGGGGGAUAACCUAGGGAAACUUAGGCUAAUACCGCAUACGACCUACGGGUGAAAGCGGGGGAUCGCAAGACCUCGCGCGACAGGAUGAGCCGAUGUCCGAUUAGCUAGUUGGCGGGGUAAAGGCCCACCAAGGCGACGAUCGGUAGCUGGUCUGAGAGGAUGAUCAGCCACACUGGUACUGAGACACGGCCCAGACUCCUACGGGAGGCAGCAGUGGGGAAUAUUGGACAAUGGGCGCAAGCCUGAUCCAGCCAUGCCGCGUGGGUGAAGAAGGCCUUCGGAUUGUAAAGCCCUUUUAUCCGGGAAGAAAUCGACUAGGCUAAUACCCCGGGGGGAUGACGUUACCGGAAGAAUAAGCACCGGCUAACUUCGUG
rnacentral:rRNA from 1 species